rnacentral:rRNA from 1 species
CAACGAGCGCAACCCUCGUCCUUAGUUGCCAGCAGGUUAAGCUGGGCACUCUAGGGAGACUGCCUUCUUAAGGAGGAGGAAGGUGAGGACGACGUCAAGUCAUCAUGGCCCUUACGGCCAGGGCUACACACGUGCUACAAUGGGGCGUACAGAGUGUUGCGAUACCGCGAGGUGGAGCUAAUCACUUAAAGCGUCUCUCAGUUCGGAUUGGAGUCUGCAACUCGACUCCAUGAAGCUGGAAUCACUAGUAAUCGUAGAUCAGCAAUGCUACGGUGAAUACGUUCCCGGGUCUUGUACUCNCCGCCCGUCACACCAUGGGAGUUGAUUUCGCCCGAAAUCGGAAUGCCAAACUGGCUACCGCUUACGGCGGAAUUAGCGACUGGGGUGAAGUCGUAACAAGGUAACC